rnacentral:rRNA from 1 species
UACCCGCUGAAUUUAAGCAUAUAAGUAAGCGGAGGAAAAGAAAAUGAAUAUGAUUCCCUUA